UAUCCCUACGGGGCGCAGCAGUGGGGUUUUUUGGGUUUUGGGGGAACCCCUGACGCAGCAACGCCGCGUGCGGGAUGACGGCCUUCGGGUUGUAAACCGCUUUCAGUAGGGACGAAUUUUGACGGUACCUACAGAAGAAGCCCCGGCUAACUACGUGCCAGCAGCCGCGGUAAUACGUAGGGGGCGAGCGUUAUCCGGAUUCAUUGGGCGUAAAGCGCGCGUAGGCGGUCAUGUAAGCGGGACCUCUAAUCUUGGGGCUCAACCUCAAGCCGGGUUCCGAACUACAUGACUCGCGUGU
rnacentral:rRNA from 1 species